rnacentral:ncRNA from 1 species
GGGUGCGCCGCUGCAUAGGGUACGGCGCAGGUUAAAGUUCAGCGUUGGUCGGGCCGCCAACG